rnacentral:rRNA from 1 species
CCUACGGGAGGCAGCAGUGGGGAAUAUUGCGCAAUGGGGGAAACCCUGACGCAGCAACGCCGCGUGAGUGAAGAAGUAUCUCGGUGUGUAAAGCUCUAUCAGCGGGGAAGAAGGAAGACGGUACCCGACUAAGAAGCCCCGGCUAACUACGUGCCAGCAGCCGCGGUAAUACGUAGGGGGCGCGCGUUAUCCGGAUUUACUGGGUGUAAAGGGAGCGUAGACGGCGUCGUAAGUCAGAAGUGAAAGCCUGUGGCUCAACCGCAGAACCGCUUUGGAAACUGCGAGGCUGGAGUGCUGGAGAGGUAGGCGGAAUUCCUGGUGUAGCGGUGAAAUGCGUAGAUAUCAGGAGGAACACCGGUGGCGAAGGCAGCUUACUGGACAGUGACUGACGUUGAGGCUCGAAAGCGUGGGGAGCAAACAGGAUUAGAUACCCUGGUAGUC